GUGGAUUAGAUACCCUGGUAGUCCUAGCCGUAAACGAUGGAUGCUAGGUGUUGGCGGACUUAACCCUGCCAGUGCCGAAGCUAACGCGUUAAGCAUCCCGCCUGGGAAGUACGAUCGCAAGAUUAAAACUCAAAGGAAUUGACGGGGACCCGCACAAGCAGCGGAGCGUGUGGUUUAAUUCGAUGCUACACGAAGAACCUUACCCAGGUUUGACAUAUAGGUGGUAGUGAACUGAAAGGGGAACGACCCGCAAGGGAGCCUAUACAGGUGUUGCACGGCUGUCGACAGCU
rnacentral:rRNA from 1 species